GGAUGACGACAUAUCGAAUGACGAGUCAUCCGCGAAUCGGGUGACGAACGUUUCGGGCGCGCCCCAUACCGAAAAUCAUCCGUUUCCGAUCUGAUUUGGCGACGCAGAGGAAAGAAUGAUCGAUGCUGGUCGUGUUUGCCAAGUAUCGCCAUUUGUAAAAUCAAGAUCUUGAAAAGAUGUUGUGCAAAGAAUUUCAAAUCCGUAAAUUCUUUGAACAUCUUAAUGUUGGACGCAGGCAAUUCUCACCGAUAUAAUUGGACUACGCAUUGUCCCACCCGGACCCGAGGGGGAAUUG